CCUACGGGAGGCAGCAGUGAGGAAUAUUGGUCAAUGGACGAGAGUCUGAACCAGCCAAGUAGCGUGAAGGAUGACUGUCCUGUGUAUUGUAAACUUCUUUUAUAUGGGAAUAAAAUCUUCCACGUGUCGGCGGUUGUAUGUACCAUAUGAAUAAGGAUCGGCUAACUCCGUGCCAGCAGCCGCGGUAAUACGGAGGAUCCGAGCGUUAUCCGGAUUUAUUGGGUUUAAAGGGAGCGUAGGUGGAUUGUUAAGUCAGUUGUGAAAGUUUGCGGCUCAACCGUAAGAGUGCCGUUGAAACUGGCAGUCUCGAGUUGAGGAGAGGUGGGCGGAAUUCGUGGUGUAGCGGUGAAAUGCUUAGAUAUCACGAAGAACUCCGAUUGCGAAGGCAGUUCACUGGACUGCAACUGACACUGAGGCUCGAAAGUGUGGGUAUCAAACAGGAUUAGAUACCCUAGUAGUC
rnacentral:rRNA from 1 species